rnacentral:rRNA from 1 species
UACAGAGGUCUCGAGCGUUGUUCGGAUUCAUUGGGCGUAAAGGGUGCGUAGGUGGCGUGGUAACGUCUGGGUGUGAAAUCCCGGGGCUCAACCCCGGAACUGCACUGGAUACUGCCAUGCUUGAGUACUGGAGAGGAGAUUGGAAUUUACGGUGUAGCAGUGAAAUGCGUAGAUAUCGUAAGGAAGACCAGUGGCGAAGGCGAAUCUCUGGACAGUUACUGACACUGAGGCACGAAGCCAGGGGAGCAAACGGG